GUAGUCAGAUUCGUAUCAAUCUACAUGCGUUGGGGUGAGUUGAAGUGUAACUUAAACUAAAUUUCACCCCAAUCCACCUCAACACAUGUGGAUUUAGAUGAAUACGACA
rfam:Sorghum bicolor cultivar BTx623 chromosome 3, whole genome shotgun sequence.